rnacentral:lncRNA from 1 species
ACCCACAUGAGUUUUAGGAUUCUGAGCAAGUAAAUUAAAAUGUCUUAUAAAAGGUUCCAUGCAAAGAAUAAAAAUGUAAGGGGAUAGGGGAUCUCCUUGACGAAUUCCUCUAGAAGCCUUAAAAUGGCCAUAAGGAGAACCAUUAAUUAGCAUGGAAAAAGAAGUGCUUGAAACACAAUUCAUAAUGCGAUCACACCAAUC